rnacentral:rRNA from 1 species
GGGUUUACCCAUUGAUCAGGCUUAAUUGUCUGCACUGGUAGGAUGGAUCUCUACCUUCUGAGGAACUUUCAUGCCAUUUAUUUAAUGUGAUGGGAAAUCAGGACUGUUACUUUGAAAAAAUUAGAGUGUUUAAAACAGACUAUCGUCUGAAUACAUUAGCAUGGAAUAAUGAAAUAGGACGGACUGAUUCUAUUUCGUUGGUUUCUAGGAUCACCGUA